GUUUGGAAUGGAAAGAAUAGAUUGAGGUGAAAGAAUAUAUUGAGUUUGAAGGGUAGAUGGGUUUGGGGUUUGGAAUAUAUGAAGUAGAAGAUAAGGAAGAUGGGGUUUGGGGUUUCGGAUUUCGGAUUUUAGGGAUUUAAACAUAAUACUCGUUAAUUCCUCGUAAAUAAAUGUGGAUAUUACGACGAAAUAUAAAAAUAAAGAACACGGGGCUCGUUAAUUCCACGUAAGAAGAAAUCGUCGUAAAGCACUCGUAAGCCAACGAGGAAAUAACGACGAAAUAUAAAAAUAAAGAACGCGGGACUCGUUAAUUCCACGUAAGCACAAAUCGUCGUAAAAUGGAAGGUAAUGGGGGAGUUUGUUCUAUAAAUAAGAUAUUGAGAUAAUAAUUUAAGGAAUGGGGUUUGGAAUGGAAAGAAUAGAUGGAGGUGAAAGAAUAUAUUGAGGUUAAAGGGUAGAUGGGUUUGGGGUUUGGAAUAUAUGAAGUAGAAUAUAAGGAAGAUGGGGUUUGGGGUUUUGGAUUUUAGGGAUUUAAACAUAAUACUCGUUAAUUCCUCGUAAAGAAACGUGGAAAUUACGACGAAGUAUAAAAAUAAAGAACACGGGGCUCGUUAAUUCCACGUAAGCAGAAAUCGUCGUAAAGCACUCGUAAGCCAACGAGGAAAUAACAACGAAAAAGAAAAAAAAAGUGGGGCUCGUUAAUUCCACGUAAGCGCAAAUCGUCGUAAAUACCUCGUAACCAAAAAAAAAAAAAGUGGCCUUGCUAAUUCCUCGUAGAAUAAAAAUUAGAAAAAAGAUAAGAGAAGAAAGAUACUGGAAUCACAUGUGGCGAGACUUACGUAAGUCUAGCCCACAUGUGUUCCAAUAUCUUUCUUCUCUUCCUUUUUUUUUCAAAUAUUUCUAAUUUGAAAAGCAUUUUGCUGAGUUGUGUGAUUUGAGAUAGGGUGUGAUUUGUGAGUUUGUGUGUGAUUUGUGAGUUUGUUUGUGGUUUGAGAAGGAAAGUUGCGGGUAUUUAUAGAAAAGCGGGGCUCGCUAAUUCUUCGUAAAAUGUUGACUCGUAAAUUCCACGUAAGCUUAAUCGUCGUAAAAAACUCGUAAACCUAAAUGCGGGCCUUUGUAAUUCCUCGCUACUUCCUCGUACAAUAAAACACGGGCCUUUGUAAUUCUUCGUAAAGCUAAACACGGGUCUUUGUAAUUCCUCGUAACUUUACGAGGAAAUAACGAGGAUAAAUAAUCUUAUAUAUACUCCCGAGCGCUCACUCUUUCUUUCCUCUCCACUUCCUCUCCACUUCCUUUCUAUUUCGUAGCAAUGGUAAGUCUCUCUAAUUCCUCUCUAAUUUGAUUUGUUUAGGAUAUAUUAGGUGGUUAGUGUAGGAAAUUUAGAUAGGUUUACGGGUUUUAUGUUAAUUAGUGUUGAUUAGGUGGAUAAUGUAGGAAAUUAUGCUGUUGAUGUUAAUUUUAAAAAUUAAAUAUUUUU
rnacentral:lncRNA from 1 species